CCUACGGGUGGCAGCAGUGAGGAAUAUUGGUCAAUGGGAGGAAGCCUGAACCAGCCAAGUAGCGUGCAGGAUGACGGCCCUACGGGUUGUAAACCUCUUUUAUACGGGAAUAACACGCCUGACGUGUAGGGCUUUGCGUGUACCGUAUGAAAAAGGACCGGCUAAUUCCGUGCCAGCAGCCGCGGUAAUACGGAGGGUCCGAGCGUUAUCCGGAUUUAUUGGGUUUAAAGGGGGCGUAGGCGGUUUGUUAAGCGGGCGGUAAAAUUUCGGGGCUCAACCCCGUCGUGCCGUGGCAACUGGCGUGCUUGAGUUCGCGGAAAGCAGGCGGAAUGCGUGGUGUAGCGGUGAAAUGCUUAGAUAUGACGAAGAACCCCGAUUGCGAAGGCAGCGUGCUGCAGCGAAACUGACGCUGAGGCACGAAAGCGCGGGGAUCGAACAGGAUUAGAUACCCCAGUAGUC
rnacentral:rRNA from 1 species